rnacentral:sRNA from 1 species
GAUGAGAAGCUUCGACUAAGGUUCGAUUCGAGCGAAAGCGAGAAAGCGUUGCCGCAGGCAACGACCCGAAGGGCGAAGCGCGCAGCGCUGAGUCAUCCUUCCCCCACCACCA